AUUGAACGCUGGCGGCAGGCCUAACACAUGCAAGUCGAACGAGUGGCGGACGGGUGAGUAAUGUCUGGGAAACUGCCUGAUGGAGGGGGAUAACUACUGGAACCGGUAGCUAAUACCGCAUACCCUCGGAUGUGCCCAGAUGGGAUUAGCUAGUGGGUGGGUUAACGGCUCACCUAGGCGACGAUCCCUAGCUGGUCUGAGAGGCUGACCAGCAACACUGGAAUUGAGACACGGGCCAUACUCCUACGGGGGGAAGCAGUGGGGAAUAUUGCACAAUGGGCGCAAGCCUGAUGCAGCCAUGCGGCGUGUAUGAAGAAGGCCUUCGGGUUGUAAAGUACUUUCAGCGGGGAGGCGUUACCCGCAGAAGAAGCACCGGCUAACUCCGUGCCAGCAGCCGCGGUAAUAC
rnacentral:rRNA from 1 species